CAUAUAUGUGAAAGGAGAGAUUAGCAUUCCCCUUGACAAGGAUGGAAAACGCCCUCAGCCCUAACAAUAUGCAUAAGGUUAAGGCAUUGCCACUUACUUUAUUUUAACUUUUUAAUUUA
rnacentral:ncRNA from 1 species